rnacentral:sRNA from 1 species
GCUGGGCGUGGUGGCUCAUGCCUGUAAUCCCAGCACUUUGGGAGGCUGAGGUGGGCGGAUCGCUUGAGGUCAGGAGUUCAAGAUCAGCCUGGCCAACAUGGUGAAACCCCAUCUCUA